rnacentral:lncRNA from 1 species
UACCCUGGUUGAUAGUGGCCGAGUUGUUCUCUCAGGGUCGAGAUCAUCCGCCAUCAGCGUGUCUGUCCUCGUCAACUGGGUCGCCAACUUCUGUGUUGGUUAUGGCUUUCCCCACAUGCAGAAAGGUUUGAUGAGCUACUCCUUCCUGCCCUUCACGGUGCUGCUGGUGUUGUUCUGGAUAUUCGUGUUCAUGUUCCUGCCAGAAACAAAAGGCAGAACAAUUGAAGAAAUUUCAUCGAUUUGGCGAAAGGAGGGUGACAAAGAAGAUCAGAAGCCCAGAUCACAAAGCUAUUUGGUUUCCUAUCAGAAGAAUCCCGACAGCUUAUAAAGAAAUGAAAAGCAGAUGAAGGGAAGAAAACUUCCUGAUAGGAGAGCCAUUUGGUUUCAUACACAAAUAAUACUGAUGUCACAUGAUCAAAAAUACGAAGUUUUAAGGAAACGAAAA